rnacentral:rRNA from 1 species
UUGGGCCUGCCCGGUGAUAAUUUUAACGGCCGCAGUUAGGAGCUGUGCUAAGGUAGCGUAAUAAAUUGUCCUUUAAAUGAGGAAAUGAAUGAAUGGUUUGACGUAAAAAAUUCUGUCUCCAAAGAAAUUUAGGAAAUUUUUUUCUUAGUGAAAAAUCUAAGAUUUUAUUAAAAGACGAGAAGACCCUUUUGAGCUUGAAUUAUUAAUAUAGUUUAAUAUUAAAAAAGUUUGGUUGGGACAACCUGGGAGUAUAAAUAGCCUCCUUUGAGUAAUAAAAAUCCAAAAAUUUUGAAAAAAGAAAAAGUUACCGCAGGGAUAACAGCGUUAUCUUCUCUGAGAGAACAAAUUGAAGAGAAGGUUUGCGACCUCGAUGUUGAAUUAAAGUUUCCGUUGGGCGUAGAGGCUUAAAUGGUNNNNNCUGUUCGUCUUUUAAAGCUUUACGUGAU